UACGAAGGGGGCUAGCGUUGCUCGGAAUAACUGGGCGUAAAGGGUGCGUAGGCGGGUCUUUAAGUCAGGGGUGAAAUCCUGGAGCUCAACUCCAGAACUGCCUUUGAUACUGAGGAUCUUGAGUUCGGGAGAGGUGAGUGGAACUGCGAGUGUAGAGGUGAAAUUCGUAGAUAUUCGCAAGAACACCAGUGGCGAAGGCGGCUCACUGGCCCGAUACUGACGCUGAGGCACGAAAGCGUGGGGAGCAAACAGG
rnacentral:rRNA from 1 species